CGGAGGGGCGUAGCGUUGUUCGGAAUUACUGGGGCGUAAAAGCGCACGUAGGCGGACUGGAAAGUCAGAGGUGAAAUACCCACGGGGCGUCAAACCUUGGAACUGCCUUUGAAACUAAUCAGUCUGGAGUUCGAGAGAGGUGGAGUGGAAUUCCGAGUGUAGAGGUGAAAUUACGUAGAUAUUCGGAGGAACACCAGUGGCGAAGGCGGCUCACUGGCUCGAUACUGACGCUGAGGUGCGAAAGCGUGGGGAGGCAAACAGGAUU
rnacentral:rRNA from 1 species